AACAAAAUGCCAGAAAGUUAAUAUGGGUAGUGUUUAGGUCUCUAUUAUAGGAAUUUGCUUUUCCUUUUUGUUA
rnacentral:tRNA from 1 species